rnacentral:rRNA from 1 species
CAGUCGCCGCGGAAUACGAAGGUCCCGAGCGUUGUUCGGAAUCACUGGGCGUAAAGGGAGCGUAGGCGGCGUGGUAAGUCAGAUGUGAAAUCCCGGGGCUCAACCCCGGAACUGCAUCCGAUACUGCCAUGCUAGAGGAUUGGAGAGGUAGCUGUAAUUCUUGGUGUAGUAGUGAAAUGCGUGGAGAUCAAGAGGAACACUCGUGGCGAAAGCGAGCUACUGGACAAUAACUGACGCUGAGGCUCGAAGGCCAGGGUAGCGAAAGGGAUUAGAGACCCGUGUAGUCCCUGUCUCUUAUACC